rnacentral:misc_RNA from 1 species
GGAAAAUAGAUGCUUCUACAAAGUACAAGCCGUCACCGCAAAAUUGAACAUUAUGUUGGGUUCCGUUGAACUAUGAAAUCAAGGAUACGCUAUCCAAAACCUGUGUUAUAGAUUCUAUCCGAAUUUACCAUUUUUGCCAUGACUUCUCUGCUACAAAUCUCCAUCUUAAACACUCUUCACGAUGACGUAUGCAAGAAAUUCAUUUAUACUCACUCUCUACCAAGUUCAAAGAUUACUUCUUUUAAUCGAAACAGAUCUAAAUUGAGGGCGAACAGAGAGAAAUGGAGUUUAUUGGAAAUGGGGAGGGGGAAAGAUGGGAUUUUGGUAAAAGAUAAGGGGUGGAAAAGGAAGAGGAGGGUGGUUUUGGUGAGUUUUAAUCAGGGCUUUGGGUUUAAUGGGGGUGGCGGCGGCGGCGGCGGUGGUGGAAGAGAUAACAGUAGCACUAUUAGACUUCUGGGUAAUGUUGCUUUGGCAAUUGGCUUGACUUACCUUUCAAUGACUGGGCAGCUUGGUUGGAUUUUUGAUGCUAUUGGCUGGGUUUUAGACGUGGUUAUUUCUAUUUGGCUCCUGGCAGUACUAAUACCUAUUGUUGGUUUGGGAGCUUUCCUCUGGUGGGCAGGACGGGAUAUACUUCAAGGCACUGUGGGGCUUCUUUAACCUUUUCUAGUCACAUUUAUUUCUUUCUUAUUAAAUAUUUUUGUGUGGAAUCUUUCUGGCUUUGUGUAUGUGUAUGUGUGCAUAUGCAACUACUUGUUUAGUGGAAUGCAGGUGUCCUCAGGAAGGUAGGGCUUUCUUAAAUAGCUCUUCUGCUUCUGCUUUCAUAAUUGAUUGUUUUAUGCUUUCUGGUUUUCAUGCAGUGCCCAAAUUGUGGAAAUGAUUUUCAGAUUUUCAAAUCCACUCUGAAUGAUGAAUUGCAGUUGUGCCCCUUUUGCAGUCAACCGUUCUCAGGUGAAAGCCAUGUCUGCAUCACCUUAUACUCUUUUUCAUUCUUUUGGCAUUUUAUCUUUGUAUUCCUAGUCUAUUGGUCUAUGAGUACAGUCAUCUUACUGGCAGCAAACUGAAUCUUCUAUAUCUUCAAAUAUCUACUUCAUUGACUGGUAAAAAUAUACAUCUGUCCAUGACAUCUUUGCCAUUCUUUGUGUUUUAUGAUAUUUCCUUGGAUAUCAGUAGUGGAAGAUGAGUUCGUGAGGGAUUCUGUAAAAUUCUCCAACAGUUCAACAACAUUUGGACAGGCAUUUGGUGACUUCUCUGCUGCUUCCAAGAAAGGUUCACCCUGCAAUAUCUUUUACUUUUUCCUUCAUUAAUGAUAUGCGAUAUGAAUUGAAUUAAUUACUUCUUAGUUUGCAUGUGAUGAUUAUAAAGAUAAUAUUAAAUCUCAUUUGUUAAUCACCAUCUUUAAGCUCCAAGGUACAUUUCCCCUACUUGGCUUCUCUACAUCUUCUUAUUGAAUUUUGUUAUCACAACUGGAUUCCCUUUCUUGGUCAGGGGAGGUCCACUUCAAUAUACUUGUACACAUAGCUGACAUUGCUGCUAAGAUAUCUAAUCUUCUCUAUUCUAUAGUUUGUCAACGUCUGAAUGAUUCAUGAAUUUUGGAACAUCACUGUGGCUUCUGCAGGAAAGGAUUCUUCUUCAGUUGUUGACAUUGAAGCAGAAAUAAAAGAUGCAGACUGAGGCCUUAAAUAAAUGAUGCAGAAUAGGGCCUCAGACAGAAUACUAUGGUGAUGGUGGAGGACCUUUGCAUGAUCAACUGGAACAACCCUGAGUGCACAGCCUUGAUAAUGCAGGAGUAAUAACUACCCAAAUUAAAAUGCUGUAUUCUAAAAUUUUUGCAAUGUUACAUUUUCUACCGGAGCUCAGUAGACUAGCCUGUAUAUUUUGCUCCCAUAUCUUGUUAAUUUUCUUGCUACUCUGAGCUGUGAUGUUCUGAGCUUUUAGGACAAAAACUAGAAAUUGUUUACAGUUGUAAAAACUUGUGAAUUGCUGUCUGUAGACAUUUUGAGUUUACAUUUUCAUCCAGAAUUGAAUAUUGUGAGUAAAAGAUUAGUUACCCUUGGUUAUCUGCUCGUGUAAAUGCUUGGCGAAGGCACAGUUAAAAUGAAAAAUAAGGUCAAAUUUAUCCAGUUAAUUCCAGCCCAAAUAUCUACUACCUGGUAAUGCUUAACACUUUGCCGGUCCGAGAUAACUUGAUCAAAAGAGUGUCUGUAG